CCUACGGGCGGCUGCAGUGAGGAAUAUUGGUCAAUGGCCGGAAGGCUGAACCAGCCAUGCCGCGUGAAGGUCAGUGCCCUAUGGGCGUUAAACUUCUUUUGUGCGGGAGCAAUAAUGGUCACGUGUGGCCAGACGAGAGUACCGUACGAAUAAGCAUCGGCUAACUCCGUGACAGCAGCCGGGGUAAUACGGGGGAUGCAAGCGUGAUCCGGAUUUAUUGGGUUUAAAGGGUGCGUAGGCUGUGAGGUAAGUCAGCGGGGAAAUGCCCCCGCUCAACGGGGUGAAGUGCCAUUGAUACUGCCUUGCUGGAAUGCGGAUGCCGUGGGAGGAAUGUGUGGUGUAGCGGUGAAAUGCAUAGAUAUCACACAGAACACCGAUUGCGAAGGCAUCUCACGAAUCCGCGAUUGACGCUGAUGCACGAAAGCGUGGGUAUCAAACAGGAGUAGAUACCCUUGUAGUC
rnacentral:rRNA from 1 species